GGCCAGACUCCUACGGGAGGCAGCAGUGGGGAAUAUUGCACAAUGGGGGAAACCCUGAUGCAGCGACGCCGCGUGAGCGAAGAAGUAUUUCGGUAUGUAAAGCUCUAUCAGCAGGGAAGAAAUUGGCGGUACCUGAGUAAGAAGCUCCGGCUAAAUACGUGCCAGCAGCCGCGGUAAUACGUAGGUGGCAAGCGUUGUCCGGAUUUACUGGGUGUAAAGGGCGUGCAGCCGGGAAGACAAGUCAGAUGUGAAAUCCUGCGGCUCAACCGCAGAACUGCAUUUGAAACUGUAGGUCUUGAGUACUGGAGAGGCAGGCGGAAUUCCUAGUGUAGCGGUGAAAUGCGUAGAUAUUAGGAGGAACACCAGUGGCGAAGGCGGCCUGCUGGGCUUUAACUGACGCUGAGGCUCGAAAGCGUGGGGAGCAAACAGGAUUAGAUACCCUAGUA
rnacentral:rRNA from 1 species